GAUGAACGCUGGCGGCGUGCUUAACACAUGCAAGUCGAACGAAGCAUUUAAGACAGAUUCCUUCGGUUUGAAGUCUUUUAUGACUGAGUGGCGGACGGGUGAGUAACGCGUGGGUAACCUGCCUCAUACAGGGGGAUAGCAGCUGGAAACGGCUGGUAAUACCGCAUAAGCGCACAGUACCACAUGGUACAGUGUGAAAAACUCCGGUGGUAUGAGAUGGACCCGCGUCUGAUUAGCUUGUUGGCGGGGUAACGGCCCACCAAGCCGACGAUCAGUAGCCGACCUGAGAGGGUGACCGGCCACAUUGGGACUGAGACACGGCCCAGACUCCUACGGGAGGCAGCAGUGGGGAAUAUUGCACAAUGGAGGAAACUCUGAUGCAGCGACGCCGCGUGAGUGAAGAAGUAGUUCGCUAUGUAAAGCUCUAUCAGCAGGGAAGAUAGUGACGGUACCUGACUAAGAAGCUCCGGCUAAAUACGUG
rnacentral:rRNA from 1 species